UNUGACUUGAGUGCAGAAGGGGAGAGUGGAAUUCCAUGUGUAGCGGUGAAAUGCGUAGAUAUAUGGAGGANCACCAGUGGCGAAAGCGGCUCUCUGGUCUGUCACUGACGCUGAGGCUCGAAAGCGUGGGUAGCGAACAGGAUUAGAUACCCUGGUAGUNCACGCCGUAAACGAUGAGUGCUAGGUGUUAGGCCCUUUCCGGGGCUUAGUGCCGGAGCUAACGCAAUAAGCACUCCGCCUGGGGAGUACGACCGCAAGGUUGAAACUCAAAGGAAUUGACGGGGGCCCGCACAAGCGGUGGAGCAUGUGGUUUAAUUCGAAGCAACGCGAAGAACCUUACCAGGUCUUGACAUCCCGAUGCUAUUCUUAGAGAUAGGAAGUUACUUCGGUACAUCGGAGACAGGUGGUGCAUGGUUGUCGUCAGCUCGUGUCGUGAGAUGUUGGGUUAAGUCCCGCAACGAGCGCAACCCUUAUUGUUAGUUGCCAUCAUUAAGUUGGGCACUCUAGCGAGACUGCCGGUAAUAAACCGGAGGAAGGUGGGGAUGACGUCAAAUCAUCAUGCCCCUUAUGACCUGGGCUACACACGUGCUACAAUGGUCGGUACAACGAGUUGCGAGCCGGUGACGGCAAGCUAAUCUCUGAAAGCCAAUCUCAGUUCGGAUUGGAGGCUGCAACUCGCCUCCAUGAAGUCGGAAUCGCUAGUAAUCGCGGAUCAGCACGCCGCGGUGAAUACGUUCCCGGGCCUUGUACACACCGCCCGUCACACCACGAGAGUUUGUAACACCCGAAGUCGGUGAGGUAACCUUUUAGGGGCCAGCCGC
rnacentral:rRNA from 1 species